AUUUAAAUAGUUUAUUCAAAACGCUGGUCUGUGGAUCCAGAGAUAUAACCUAUAGUUAUUUUAGAUC
rnacentral:tRNA from 1 species